GCGACUGCGAAUACGUAUGCGAAUUGCAGGAUUCAGUGAGUCAUCGAAAUUUUGAACGCAUAUUGCACUUUCGGGUUAUGCCUGGAAGUAUGUCUGUAUCAGUGUCCGUA
rnacentral:rRNA from 1 species